GCCGGGCGUGGUGGCUCACGCCUGUAAUCCCAGCACUUUGGGAGGCCGAGGCGGGUGGAUCACCUGAGGUCAGGAGUUCGAGACCAGCCUGGCCAACAUGGUGAAACCCCGUCUUUA
rnacentral:SRP_RNA from 1 species